AGCUCCAACUCUAUCUUGCAGAAGCCGCUCCCACCUCACUGCAUCCGAACUCAGCCUCACUGCCUUGAGAUCUUCUGCUUGCACCACCGUCUCAGUACUGCUUCCUGUGUGGUGCAUACGCUUUGCUUGUUGCUGGUUGAGCAAGUUCUCUGGAGUCGGGGGUUCAAAUCCCGGGUCCUCCACACACGGUGUGACCUGGCAUGUGUCAAUUCACUUCGAACUUUAUUUUCCUCAUUUCCAAGGGAAAGAAGGUCAUGAAGGUCAAGGCUUCGCGAUGCUUCAGAAUCCGGUGACACUUCUGUGGAGUGCUUGGCAGGGCGAAGGAGAGCUCCUUCUGAGCUCUGUACGAACAGCGGCCCUGCUGGCUGGAUUUCUCUCCCAGACUCCACGUGCAGCCUGACACAGAAAAGCUGGAGAUGUCCUCAGGGUCAUUUCCUCCCCAAAUACCAAACAGGUCCCUGCAGAUGCCACAGACCUGGGGCUUGCCGGCGUUUUGGCAUUUCUUCAUCACCCCCUCAGUGUGGGGCAAGACUUGGCUGGGCCCACAGCCAGCAAUAAAGCGGAUGCUAAUCAUAUCAUUAUAUGCUGAAUAAUUAACUGUCAUUUAAAUAUUCAUAUGUUGUUGGGGGCAAGGCCUUUUAUCAGUAUCUGGGGAUGUGUCAGCAGAGGAAGGAGAUGGAUGUCGCCAAGGCUGACUUUGCCUGUGAAGGGCGACCUGGGGUCUAGGGAGAGCCAUUGCAGUAGCCACCAGACAGUCAGCUAAUAUAUAACUGCAAUAUUCUCAUGUGAUAAACGGCAACUUCAUAAAUGCUUGAUGCAUAUGAGCAAGCCUAAAACAAUAUUGGAAGCAUUAAUUUCAUUUGACUAAUGCUUGUCUGUAUUUUAUUCUGUUCCCAUCUCUAAAGAAGCCCCUCUUUCCUUCAGGGAAGGACUGGAGGGCUGCUGAUGGGUUCGAGGCGCCAAGGGCUGCACUUCCUGCUGGUUCUGCUGUCAGGGUGAUGGGCUUUGUGGCAUCUGUUGUGGACUGGCUCUGAGAUUUGUGGAGGCCUACCCAAGAGUUUGCCUUUAGCCCAGUGGAAUAACUCAGCUCAUCGGGUGGCCUGGCCGGGUAGAACAAAGGACCUUACUCUUGCUGGUUGUCUGCUGAGAAGACCCUCGACUCUGAGUGACCCAUAGUGGCUGGUCCUGUGGAUUUCUUCAGCAUGGCUGCUGUCUGAAUCAGGAAGAGCCUGUACUUAAGACAGAACUUAUCCAGUAUAGAGUGACCAUGAAGCAUGGAGGGACACUGUCACCUUUCCAGGUCUAUUAGAGGCAUCAGACCCCGGAUCAUCCACAGUCUAACUUGGUGCUGAGCCUGGCUUGUGACAUAUCACAGUUCUUCACUUAUGGGAAAGAAGACUGAAUAUAUUCCAUCCCAACGAUCCCCUGGGGACAGUUUUAGAAACUCCAUCCUGCAGGGCCCAGGCCUCCAGCUAUCACCAUGGGGCAAAGAGCAGUUUGGUCUGGGAGGAUGAGCUGCAUCCACUUGGAUGUCCUCCAGUGCCCCCAGUGCAUCCCUGUCCCUCCAUCCCCACUGUACAGAGGUCUGCCUUCCUGCUCACAGCCAGGCUUGGCAGGGAAAGCAGUCUCCUCCUCAGAUUUCCCUGCUUCUCAAACAUUCCAGACACCCAAAGUUUUCUCCAGGCUCUCCUCCCAUUCAUGCACUCAUUCUUCCACUCAUUCAUUUGUUGAUUCGUUCAAUAAAUACUUUCUGAGCACUCGGAAUCUCCCAGGCUGGGAACACAGCAGUGACCCCUAGCUGACCGGUCUACCAUCUCCUCAAGAGGUUACCACAACUGAAAGGACAGACAUGACCGUUUUAGAGAGUGACACAGGCCUUGACAUCAGUAAAACACAAGGCAUGAUGGGAAGUGAUGGACUGUUGCUUUGGUUUGCAGACAGAGGAAAACCCCCCCACCCCCACCCCUCAAGAGAGGACAUCUGCAGGAGGAUUUGAGUGUGAUGAAGCUAGUCAAAGGAAGACUUAGGUGAAGAACAUCUUGCUCAUUUCAGUAAGCAAGAAGCACAACGGCUCUGGGGUUGGAGUGAACUUUUCCAGCUUCAGGAACGGGAAGAGGCUGUGGUUUAGAGGAGAGUCAGGGACCCAGCAUGCAGGGACAAUGGUCAGACUUUCCAUUUCCCCACAAGUACAAUAGCAUCUAUUGGAGCCUUGGAUCUGGGGAGAGCUCUGACUUGAUUUAUAUGUGUCUCUCUGCCUUUUGUAUUGAGAGUAGAGAGGCCAUCAAGAGCUCCGGGCGAGGGGAUGGCUUAGUUAAGUGCCCGCAUACAAGCAUGAAGACAAGAAUUCAAUCAAACGAGCUGGGCAUGGCGCCGUGAGCUUGUAAUCUCAGAGCUGGAGAGAUGGAGACAGGAGGCGUCUUGGGACGAGCUCGCUAGUUGGUCUAGGCAAAUUAGUGAGCUCCAGGCUCAUGACAGACCACGUCUCUGAGGAGAUGGAUGCUGUUCUUGAGGAUAGCACCCAAAGCUGUCUCUAGCUUCCCCUACAUGUAUACACUUUCUGGGCUAUUUGAGCACCUGUGCCAUUGGCAGAAGCACCAAGUUAGCAAGCGCCCCUUGCGGAAACAAGGUUAGAAGCAUCGUACUGUUCUUUCUGGUGACACUCCAGCAAAUCCACAAGUCCUGGGACCCCUGGCCUCUGGAGGGUGUUUCUCGGUGUUUUCUAAAAGCACCAGCCAGUGAGAGUCAAAAUUUGAACAGGUAUAACUCUCAAGAGCUGGUCCUGUAUUACCUUGAGACAAGUGUUUGUUAAAAAAAGAUUCUAGUUGCUAGAACACAUCUUGUAAACACUUGUGUUUGAAAAUUGUACGCUGAUGGGAUGCUUUGUGGGUUCCCGUACGUGUUCACGUACGACUGGAAAUCUGUUUGUCACAGAUGCUUCCCAUGCCUGGUUGUUGUUUUCUUUUUCCUAAUUAAUCUAUUGAUGUAGAAUUAUGCAUUUUUUUUUUUAACUAAGCUAGGAAGUGUAUUUAAAAGCUCGUUUCCUUGCC